GGAUGUAAAAAUCUGCUACUUCCUCAGUUCCAUGGGUUUAUUCAGUUGAUCUGACUGGCUAGGUAGGAGUAACUUUCCUCACCAUGCCAUGUGGAUUCCUUCCUGAAGUUCUGCACUCAGCAGAAGAAGGCAACCUUCCAUAACAGACGAAGACUGUUCUUUGGUUAAGACCACAUGAGUACCUGAGUACCCCUGCUAGAACAUCCAAACAAGCUCAACAACUCAGGAGCCCAUAGCGAACACCCUUGAGCAUACAUGUAAUUUUAGAAAUAACCGAAAUGAUU
rnacentral:snRNA from 1 species